rnacentral:rRNA from 1 species
CCAGACUCCUACGGGAGGCAGCAGUGGGGAAUAUUGCACAAUGGGGGAAACCCUGAUGCAGCGACGCCGCGUGGGUGAAGGAGUGCUUCGGCAUGUAAAGCCCUAUCGGCAGGGAAGAAGCAAGACGGUACCUGACUAAGAAGCCCCGGCUAACUACGUGCCAGCAGCCGCGGUAAUACGUAGGGGGCGAGCGUUAUCCGGAUUUACUGGGUGUAAAGGGAGCGUAGACGGCCAGACAAGUCUGAAGUGAAAAUCCAGCGCUUAACGUUGGAAGUGCUUUGGAAACUGCCGGGCUGGAGUGCAGGAGGGGCAGGCGGAAUUCCUAGUGUAGCGGUGAAAUGCGUAGAUAUUAGGAGGAACACCAGUGGCGAAGGCGGCCUGCUGGACUGCAACUGACGUUGAGGCUCGAAGGCGUGGGGAGCACACAGGAUUAGAUACCCCAGUAA